rnacentral:rRNA from 1 species
UGCGUAGGUGGCGCCGUAAGUCGGGUGUGAAAUUUCGGAGCUUAACUCCGAAACUGCAUUCGAUACUGCGGUGCUUGAGGACUGGAGAGGAGACUGGAAUUUAUGGUGUAGCAGUGAAAUGCGUAGAGAUCAUAAGGAAGACCAGUGGCGAAGGCGGGUCUCUGGACAGUUCCUGACACUGAGGCACGAAGGCCAGGGGAGCAAACG